rnacentral:rRNA from 1 species
AGCGAACGCUGGCGGCAGGCCUAACACAUGCAAGUCGAACGAAGUCUUCGGACUUAGUGGCGGACGGGUGAGUAACACGUGGGAACGUGCCUUUAGGUUCGGAAUAACUCAGGGAAACUUGUGCUAAUACCGAAUGUGCCCUUCGGGGGAAAGAUUUAUCGCCUUUAGAGCGGCCCGCGUCUGAUUAGCUAGUUGGUGAGGUAAAGGCUCACCAAGGCUACGAUCAGUAGCUGGUCUGAGAGGAUGACCAGCCACAUUGGGACUGAGACACGGCCCAAACUCCUACGGGAGGCAGCAGUGGGGAAUCUUGCGCAAUGGGCGAAAGCCUGACGCAGCCAUGCCGCGUGGAUGACGAAGGUCUUAGGAUUGUAAAAUCCUUUCACCGGUGAAGAUAAUGACUGUAGCCGGAGAAGAAGCCCCGGCUAACUUCGUGCCAGCAACCGCCGCAGUAA